rnacentral:rRNA from 1 species
UACGUAGGGAGCAAGCGUUGUUCGGAUUUACUGGGCGUAAAGGGCGCGUAGGCGGCGCGGUAAGUCACUUGUGAAAUCUCUGAGCUUAACUCAGAACGGCCAAGUGAUACUGCAGUGCUAGAGUGCAGAAGGGGCAAUCGGAACUCUUGGUGUAGCGGUGAAAUGCGUAGAUAUCAAGAGGAACACCUGAGGUGAAGACGGGUUGCUGGGCUGACACUGACGCUGAGGCGCGAAAGCCAGGGGAGCAAACGGG